UGUAUAUGUGUAUAUGUGUGUGUGUGUGUGUGUACACACACACACACACACACACAUACACAUAUACAUA
rnacentral:miRNA from 1 species